GUCCAUGUAAAUGCACCUUUACUCUGAACAACCCUGAGGAAGAGCGAACUGGCCAACUCGACUCGACAGGGGUGUCCAGUGGAGUUGCCUGGUCUGAGCAAGCUGGUCACAAGGAGCAAGAGCAGUGGCCUGGUGGAUUUUUACAUGUAACAGAGUAUUUUUGCAGCAUGGUAUCAGUACUUUUACUUAAGUAAAAAAGCCCUGCAGCCCAACACGACACUCUGCAUGACGAGAACUUAAUUUGCGGACUUUUUAAGCAUCCACUGGUUUCUGUCAGCGGUGGGACAGUCCAGUCGCCAGAGGAAUGUGUUGGUGGAGAGGAUGGUGGAUGGUGUGACAACUAGGUGAGACGCCUGCCAAGUUAGACACCACUGUUCAAGACUGAGACACAACAAAAUCGCCUAUGUUUUAGCGCCCUGGUUGCUGUGUUUCCAGCAGUGGUUUUUUACCGAUGUCUUCUCCAGCUGUGUUUGUGCCACUAAAACCAUGUUUUUAAGCCCAAACAUGAUUUUUUUUCACAAUCAUAAGCCUGUGUUUUUUGUGCCUAAACCUAACAUGUUAACUACAGUGUU